rnacentral:sRNA from 1 species
UGCAUCUGAAGCCGGUGAGGAUGAGAAGCUCCGGGGGUAGAGGUUCGACCCGAGCGUAGCGAGGGAACGUUGCUUUAGCAACGGCCCGCAGGGCGAGCCACGUAGUGGUGAGUCAUCCUCUAUCACCGACCA